GAUCAUGGCUCAGGAUGAACGCUAGCGACAGGCUUAACACAUGCAAGUCGAGGGGCAGCGAGGGCGUAGCAAUACGCCUGUCGGCGACCGGCGCACUGGUGAGUAACACGUAUGCGACCUGCCCCCAUACGAGGGUACUAACCCGUAGAAUGCGGACUAACUCCCCAUACGUCCCGGCGGGCUGCAUGGCCUGGACGGGGGAAAGGCCAGCCGGGUAGGGGAUGGGCAUGCGGCGCAUUAG
rnacentral:rRNA from 1 species